CUGUUGUUAAAGAAGAACAUAUCUGAGAGUAACUGUUCAGGUAUUGACGGUAUUUAACCAGAAAGCCACGGCUAACUACGUGCCAGCAGCCGCGGUAAUACGUAGGUGGCAAGCGUUGUCCGGAUUUAUUGGGCGUAAAGCGAGCGCAGGCGGUUUUUUAAGUCUGAUGUGAAAGCCUUCGGCUCAACCGAAGAAGUGCAUCGGAAACUGGGAAACUUGAGUGCAGAAGAGGACAGUGGAACUCCAUGUGUAGCGGUGAAAUGCGUAGAUAUAUGGAAGAACACCAGUGGCGAAGGCGGCUGUCUGGUCUGUAACUGACGCUGAGGCUCGAAAGUAUGGGUAGCAAACAGGAUUAGAUACCCUGGUAGUCCAUACCGUAAACGAUGAAUGCUAAGUGUUGGAGGGUUUCCGCCCUUCAGUGCUGCAGCUAACGCAUUAAGCAUUCCGCCUGGGGAGUACGGCCGCAAGGCUGAAACUCAAAGGAAUUGACGGGGGCCCGCACAAGCGGUGGAGCAUGUGGUUUAAUUCGAAGCUACGCGAAGAACCUUACCAGGUCUUGACAUACUAUGCAAAUCUAAGAGAUUAGACGUUCCCUUCGGGGACAUGGAUACAGGUGGUGCAUGGUUGUCGUCAGCUCGUGUCGUGAGAUGUUGGGUUAAGUCCCGCAACGAGCGCAACCCUUAUUAUCAGUUGCCAGCAUUAAGUUGGGCACUCUGGUGAGACUGCCGGUGACAAACCGGAGGAAGGUGGGGAUGACGUCAAAUCAUCAUGCCCCUUAUGACCUGGGCUACACACGUGCUACAAUGGAUGGUACAACGAGUUGCGAACUCGCGAGAGUAAGCUAAUCUCUUAAAGCCAUUCUCAGUUCGGAUUGUAGGCUGCAACUCGCCUACAUGAAGUCGGAAUCGCUAGUAAUCGCGGA
rnacentral:rRNA from 1 species